rnacentral:rRNA from 11 species
CCCAACAGUUAAUAUCCAUGAAUAUCCUAAAACAUCAGAUCCAAUCUGAUCUUGGAAGCUAAACAUGGUCAGGCCCUCUUCAUACUUGGAUGACAGAUCACGAAUGAAUGUUGAUUGCUGUCAGGG